GACGAUCAUAUGACAUUGAAACGCCGGUUCCUGUGCGAUCACCUAAGUUAAGCAGCGUCGAGCCUGGUCAGUACCUAGAUAGGUGACAGCUUGGGAAUACCAGGUGCUGUAA